UUUCCGUAGGKGAACCUGSGGAAGGAUCAUUAUUGAAUACUCGAUGGGUUGUAGCUGGCUCCUCGGAGCAUGUGCACGCCUGUCUUGACUCUAUUCAUCCACCUGUGCACCUAUUGUAGUCUCAUUUGCUAUGUCUUUAUUCACAAACCAUGUAGUAUGUUGCAGAAUGUAUUCAAUGGGCCAUCGUGCCUAUAAAACCUUAUACAACUUUCAGCAACGGAUCUCUUGGCUCUCGCAUCGAUGAAGAACGCAGCGAAAUGCGAUAAGUAAUGUGAAUUGCAGAAUUCAGUGAAUCAUCGAAUCUUUGAACGCACCUUGCGCUCCUUGGUAUUCCGAGGAGCAUGCCUGUUUGAGAGUCAGUAAAUUCUCAACCCCACCAGCUUUUGUGAGUUGGCACUUGGGGAUUGGAUGUGGAGGUUCUGCCGGCCGGUCGGCUCCUCUGAAAUGUAUUAGCGGAACCGUUUGCGAUCCGUCACAGGUGUGAUAAUUAUCUACGCCAGUGGGUUGCUCUCUGUCUGUUCAGCUUCCAACCGUCCUCCGGGACAAACAUAACUGAACCUUUGACCUCAAAUCAGGUAGG
rnacentral:rRNA from 1 species